GCCUGGUUAGCUCAAUCGGUAGAGCGUUUGACUCUUAUGAUUUGUAUUAGCAAUCAAAAGGCUGCGGGUUCGAGCCCCGCAUCGGGCU
rnacentral:tRNA from 1 species